AUUGAACGCUGGCGGAAUGCUUUACACAUGCAAGUCGAACGGCAGCACGGGGCAACCUGGUGGCGAGUGGCGAACGGGUGAGUAAUAUAUCGGAACGUGCCCAAUCGUGGGGGAUAACGUAGCGAAAGUUACGCUAAUACCGCAUACGAUCUACGGAUGAAAGCGGGGGAUCGCAAGACCUCGCGCGAAUGGAGCGGCCGAUAUCAGAUUAGGUAGUUGGUGGGGUAAAGGCUCACCAAGCCAACGAUCUGUAGCUGGUCUGAGAGGACGACCAGCCACACUGGAACUGAGACACGGUCCAGACUCCUACGGGAGGCAG
rnacentral:rRNA from 1 species